CAUCCCAAACCUGUCAAGUGAAUGGCAGGGAGUGGAAAUGCCUGUCGCAUCCCUGCUUUUGGAAAAGAUCAAAACCCAAGCUUCCUGAUGGCACAGCCAUACUGCAGUUUCCGCAGCAGAUCUCAGGAAAGAUGUUCCCCACGAGAGUUAUUUAUAGGACUAUUUUCAGUGGAGAUGUUUCAGAGCAACAAGUGAUUGUGCUGCUGCCAUUGUUAACAAGAAUGGAAGAAAGUGGUGUUGAUGGACUAUUUGGAGCUGCACCCACACGUGUAGCGAGGAAGGGCUGCAGAUGAAAUGUCAAGCAUCCAGCUGGAAUAUGACAGGCAACGCAACCCUUCAUACAUGGCUUAGCUCUGAUGGGCUCGAGAACAAUUGUUCUUUGAUUUGUUUUGUAUAUAUGUAUAUGUACACGUAUUUCUGUUGGGUGAAUUUUUAAUUGCGUGCCGCCCUAAACAUUGAACGCAAACACUUGGUCUGGCUAGCAUUCACAGGGUUUCCCUAUAAUCAGAGGAGAGAUAUCAGCUCCUUUAGGUGGGUAGUCCAGCUGUAGAUCCUCCUUUGAUGACCUGAACUGCUCUCCAGAAAAGCAUUGGUUUUCUCCCUAGAGGAUAAAACCUCUCCCUAGAGGCUAGCCCACUGUUCGAUUUACAUGUUACAUAGCCUGUGAUGUGACAUCUCCCUUUGCAUCUUAUGCUUUCCUUGUGAAGGAGUAGCCAUCUACCCUGAGGUCCUAUCCAUAGAUUUCACCAGCAUUGGUCAUGGGCUAAAAUACAUUUGAUUUGCAAGGAAUUCCCAGCAGCAAGCUGUCCUUUUUCAGAGGUAAACUCAGUUAAUGGCAGGCACUGUGCAUUUUUUGCAUUAAAAUAAUAAUAAUAAUAAAAAGGAAUACUACAGCAGUGAGUUCAGUUAGGUGAAAUUACUUUAAUUACCUGUGGAAAUGUAGUUUUGCAAAACUUGCUAUUAUCAACCAGAAGACUAUGUCUGAUAAAUAUUAGGAAUUUUAAAAAUCAUGUAAAAAUGUUCUACAUGCAUUGGAUGUUAAGUUUAAAAUUAAAUUGAAACACACGAUAUGACUACUUGUCGAAAUACAAAUGCAUCAAUAGCCUAAUAAUGAAUAUCUUCUCAAUGUUUGUACUAAGCAUCUUUGACACUUAAAUGAGAUGAUUGAAAAAGCCCCUGCUUUUUGAAAUACGGCACAUUCAUAAAUUCGAGGAGAGAUUAAAAAGCAUUGCAGUCCAUAUACUGCACUGUUCAGACACAUCCAGAUAUCACAUUACUAGCUUCAUCUUUCAAAAUUAGCAAACACACCUUGCAAGGCACAAUUUGAGGUGGUAUGUGCAAAUCUGUUAUUCCACUUCAAAAAUUCAGCAACUAGUGAAGCUAAUGGAUCCAUAAAAGCUAUUAGCUUGAGGCUUGGUGCUGCAAUUCUAUUUCAACAGAAAUAUUUUUAGUGGUAUAUUAUUAAAUAUAUUGUGCACAGCUGUUUGUUUGCCUUUCCAAGGUGUGGAAGUGGUUUACUCUGUUGCAAAGAAGAAAAGAAAAUUGCUUGCACAGUACUUGCAGGAAAAUUGUCUUGUUAUGUCUGAAGCUAAUGCACCUAGAUAUUGUACCUGUUAAAUAUCUGCUUGUGUAAUCUUUACCCCAAUACUACUUAAUAAUUUAGUGAUUUAGUACUACAAGUGAUGGCAGUGUGUCUACUCCAGGUAGAUAUCUGUGGGACUAUUAUUCAUGGUAGUCAGUACUUACCCAGCAAUAAGUACUGGCAAGAUUAGCUCUUUAUAUUUUAAGCUUAAUCGGAGUCAGAUGGGAGGGAUACUGGGCAGCGCUUAGUGUUUCCAGAGUGCUGUUUGUUUGAUGUUUCUUGGAGAGAAGAACUCAGUUGCCUAGAGCUCACAUAUCAAGCAAGCAUGAGGCAAUAACAGAAAAUCCAACUAGUGGCUGGGGAUGUACAUUUGGGCUGUUAAGUGAGAAAAAAAAAGAUCAAGUUUGGCACUGGGGCUGUAUGUGCAGGCAGCAAAGCAUCAGUCACUGUAGAAGCAAUAAAGAUAUGACUGACAGCA